rnacentral:rRNA from 1 species
GUUUGAUCCUGGCUCAGAUUGAACGCUGGCGGCAUGCCUUACACAUGCAAGUCGAACGGUAACAGGUCUUCGGAUGCUGACGAGUGGCGAACGGGUGAGUAAUACAUCGGAACGUGCCUAGUAGUGGGGGAUAACUACUCGAAAGAGUGGCUAAUACCGCAUGAGAUCUACGGAUGAAAGCAGGGGAUCGCAAGACCUUGUGCUACUAGAGCGGCCGAUGGCAGAUUAGGUAGUUGGUGGGAUAAAAGCUUACCAAGCCGACGAUCUGUAGCUGGUCUGAGAGGACGAUCAGCCACACUGGGACUGAGACACGGCCCAGACUCCUACGGGAGGCAGCAGUGGGGAAUUUUGGACAAUGGGGGAAACCCUGAUCCAGCCAUCCCGCGUGUGCGAUGAAGGCCUUCGGGUUGUAAAGCACUUUUGGCAGGAAAGAAACGUCAUGGGCUAAUACCCCGUGAAACUGACGGUACCUGCAGAAUAAGCACCGGCUAACUACGUGCCAGCAGCCGCGGUAAUACGUAGGGUGCAAGCGUUAAUCGGAAUUACUGGGCGUAAAGCGUGCGCAGGCGGUUUUGUAAGACAGUGGUGAAAUCCCCGGGCUCAACCUGGGAACUGCCAUUGUGACUGCAAGGCUGGAGUGCGGCAGAGGGGGAUGGAAUUCCGCGUGUAGCAGUGAAAUGCGUAGAUAUGCGGAGGAACACCGAUGGCGAAGGCAAUCCCCUGGGCCUGCACUGACGCUCAUGCACGAAAGCGUGGGGGAGCAAACAGGAUUAGAUACCCUGGUAGUCCACGCCCUAAACGAUGUCAACUGGUUGUUGGGAAUUUAUUUUCUCAGUACGAAGCUACGCGUGAGUUGACCGCCCUGGGGGAGUACGGCCCCAGGUAACUCAAGGGAUUGACGGACCCGACAAGCGGGGAUGAGUGGAUAAUCAUGCACGCGAAACCUUACCUACCUGACUGUC